rnacentral:rRNA from 1 species
GGCUCUAUGUCUUAUUGUAAAUAUGGAGUCGGGCCUGCCCGGUGAAAAUUUUUAACGGCCGCGGUACUCUGACCGUGCAAAGGUAGCAUAAUAAUUUGCCUUAUAAUUGAAGGCUGGUAUGAAUGGUCUGACAAGAAUGAAACUGUCUCUUUAUGGUUAGUUAGAACUUUAUCUAUAGGUGAAAAAGCCUAUGUGUUAUUGAUAGACAAGAAGACCCUAUCGAGCUUUAAAGGAGUUGUAGUAUAAAGACUGCUUUGAUUUUGGUUGGGGCGACCGGGGAACAGAUAAAACUUCCCUACUAUAAAAAUACAUACGUGUGAUGAUCCAAAUUAUUUGAUUUAUGAAAUUAGUUACCGUAGGGAUAACAGCAUAAUCCUCUUUGAGAGCCCUUAUCGAAAAGAGGGCUUGUGACCUCGAUGUUGGACCAGGGCAUCCUGAAGGUGUAGCAGCCUUCAAGGGUUGGUCUGUUCGACCAUUAAAGCCCUACGCGAUCUGAGUUCAGACCGGCGUGAGCCAGGUCAGUUUCUAUCUUCAAUUCUUUUAGUAGACUUAGUACGAAAGGACCAGACUACUCUAAUUUUAAGUCUAAACGAUAUAAUAUAAUGUUUAAUUUGUCAGGCUAGCAGAAAAAAUGCAAUUGAUUUAGGUUCAGUAGGUAUGGUAUAAUCCUUGCCUGAUAGUAGAGGUGGCAGAAUA